rnacentral:lncRNA from 1 species
GGAGGCGUUGGGGGCUGGGAUCCAAGCUCCACUCAGAAAUCCCUUCAACCAGAAUAGCACCUCGGCUUGGUUAAAAUUCUUAUUUCUUUUUAAUUUGUCUACCAUAUAGGUAAGGUUUCAUUUGAGAAAAAAAAAGUGUUCUACAUUUUUAAAUGGUCAGAGGUUCACUAUCAUUAGAAGAGAAACAUUAAGGUCUGCUCUUCCAAGACUGGGCAUUUGUGCUCUAGAUUACAGCUUUGCACCUGUCGCAUGGAUACUAUUGUCCCUUCCAGUCGAGGGCACAAAGGGCCUGGCAAGUAGACUGCUACAGAAAGAAGAGACCAGAAGAAACCACUGCUCAUCUGCCAGCCUCACAGCCAGAGCCACUUCAGCUACCAUCCCAGAAAAGCCCACCUAUCAGGAUUCUGGACAUUUUCCUCAGAGACCCUUGGGCUUCCUUUCUAAAUAAAU